AUUAUCUGCUACAUUUCAAUGUGUUUGAUAUGUGCAUUUGCAUGAAUUUGAGACAUUAGGAUUACUUGGUGUAAUUGCUUGCAUGCAUAGUAGGUUAGAAUGCAUUAGCAGUGUGUUGUGUGUCUUUUGGUGAGGUGGAGUAUAGAUGCCUAAGGGUACAUGGUGGUUUGUGCCGAGGGAUGUAGAGUGUGACAUUUGGAUCACGAGUGGAGAUGUGAUCAAAUGUCUAGGAUCCUUUAUCUGGAAAGAGACCCUGAUCAGGUGGAGUGUGAGAGAGACACUUCUAUCACUUCUGUUAAGUGGAGACCCAUUAUCCACGUAGGUUGGGAGAAGUGAUGUGGAGAUAAAGGAUUAUCCCGUGGACUUAGGAUCUAUUGUGACUUGCCAGUUAGACAUGAGUUAAGUGAUCUGUCUAGUGAGCUUGGUGGGCGAUGAGAGGAGAUAUGUGUUCUCGAGGUGUGAGCAACACGGAAUGGGAUAGGAUAAGUGUGGUGAGGUCUUUUCUUAGGGUCAUUUAUGCAUGUGUUGCAUAUGUGGUUGACCAUGGUUUGAUUGACUUGGUGUUAAUCUAUGGUUCUAUGUGAACGUGUUUCUGAAAAGAUCUGUGUGUGUUAUCCUAUAGUAUAUCGUCAUCGCAUGUGUAUUUGCUCUUGAUUGUUUACUGUUAAAUAUUUGCUUCUACUUGGGUGUUUUUUGACCUUAGCCCCAGUGAGUACAUGGAGCAGGUAUGGUAUGUGUUUCAAGUUGGAAACACGAGGUAAGGUCUGUGAUCCAAUUUUAUUGGCUACAUUGAUUAUGCAAGUGUUAACUGUGUGUUUUGAUUGCUUGCAGAUUUAUUGGGCAUCAAGGUGGAGAUUUGUUGGGUUUUUUGAUACCCAAUAAAUCCCAGGCUAUGAUGUUAACGUGGGUUAAUAUUAUUUUAUAGGCAUAAGCCGAUGAAUGAAAUAAGUCCAACAACCAAGUCCAUGAGCUACACCCGGCCCAAUUGUAUUCCUUAUGGAUGGCUUGAAUCUUGACCCGUUUACCCCUUUAGUGGCCCAACUUAAAGCCUAACCCUAGAGUAUAUAUAUGAAUAUAACCCUAGCCUCUUUGUGAUGAUGAUUGUGUGAUUUUGAGAGAAGAAACUAGUGAAUCCCGGCUGCCCCCCUUUUGUAUGAGAAAAAGGUGUCCAGAAGUGUCCAAAACGCUUGUAUAACGUGUGCAAUUGGUAGUUCUUUCAUAGUAUAUCUUUGUGGUGUCUUCUCCUAACCUUUGUGGCCAUAAAUCAUCAUCCUUUCUUGUCCUAUGUGGGUAAGAUUGUAUAGCAACCAAGGUGAAUCAAUUGGUUGUGGUUUGGAGCCGUUUGGAUUGGUUGUUGGUAGAGAAAGGUACGUUGGACUGAGCCUGGAAAACCACCGUUUGAAGAUCUUUUGAGAGAGCUUCCGCAACAGCUUUCAUGCCAAUACAUCGACUGUGAUUAAUUUGGCAUUCCAACUGCUACAUUGUCGAAAAUAUAAUGGCUAAGCUUAAACGCAACUCUUUUGUAAAGUAUGGAGAACUGAUAUGGGUUGCAUCAUUUAACCAGCACCGACGCACAAUAAAGUUUAUCGAGGAAACAUAACUAGAGGUCGACAGUACUUCCUUGUAAUGAAUUCCUUUGUAGUAAGUGGAGAUUUAUUUUGAUAUCCCUUUUAUUUUUUGAUUUGGAAGAGUGACCAACAUUGAGGAAGCAAGAAAAUAAAGGCCUGUAAAUGUAUAAACAGUUGUUUAACAAGAACAUUUUUUUUCAAAG
rnacentral:lncRNA from 1 species